rnacentral:rRNA from 1 species
UGAAUACGAGACGCUAAGGCGUCGAAGUAGUGUAUGUCAUACUUCCAAGAAAAGCUUGCACUGUCAUAGAUAAAAAACGCCUGUACCAUAACCGACACAGGUGGGUAGGUAGAGUAUACUAAGGGGCGCGAGAUAACUCUCUCUAAGGAACUCGGCAAAAUAACUCCGUAACUUCGGGAGAAGGAGUGCCUUAUUCGUAAGGUUGCAAUAACAAGAUCCAAGCAACUGUUUAUCAAAAACACAGGUCUCCGCUAAGUCGUAAGACGAUGUAUGGGGGCUGACGCCUGCCCAGUGCCAGAAGGUUAAAGAAGUUGGUUAGCAAUUGCGAAGCUGAUAACUGAAGCCCUGGUGAACGGCGGCCGUAACUAUAACGGUCCUAAGGUAGCGAAAUUCCUUGUCGGGUAAGUUCCGACCCGCACGAAAGGCGUAAUGAUUUGGAUACUGUCUCGGAGAGGGGCUCGGUGAAAUAGACUUGUCUGUGAAGAUGCGGACUACCUGCACCAGGACAGAAAGACCCUAUGAAGCUUUACUGUAACUUGAAAUUGAAAUUGGACUUUAUUCGCGCAGUAUAGGUGGGAGGCGUUGAUUAUAAUCUUGUGGGAUUAUUGGAGCCAUCAGUGAGAUACCACUCUUGUAAUGUUAGAUUUCUAACUUUGAAUCAUUAUCUGGUCAAAGAACAGUUUCAGGCGGGCAGUUUGACUGGGGCGGUCGCCUCCUAAACGGUAACGGAGGCGUACAAAGGUUUCCUCUGAACGGUUAGAAAUCGUAUCUAGAGUGUAAAGGCAUAAGGAAGCUUGACUGUGAGACCUACAAGUCGAGCAGGGACGAAAGUCGGUCUUAGUGAUCUGACGGUACUGAGUGGAAAGGCCGUCACUCAACGGAUAAAAGUUACUCUAAGGAUAACAGGCUGAUCUCCCCCAAGAGUUCACAUCGACGGGGAGGUUUGGCACCUCGAUGUCGGCUCAUCGCAUCCUGGGGCGGUAAUACGUCCCAAGGGUUGGGCUGUUCGCCCAUGAAAGCGGUACGCGAGCUGGGUUCAGAACGUCGUGAGACAGUUCGGUCCAUAUCCGGUGUAGGCGUUAGAAUAUUGAGAGGAGCCUUCUUUAGUACGAGAGGACCGAGAAGGACAUACCUCUGGUGUACCAGUUAUCGUGCCAACGGUAAACGCUGGGUAGCUAUGUAUGGAGUGGAUAACCGCUGAAAGCAUCUAAGUGGGAAGCCCACCUCAAGAUAAG